rnacentral:rRNA from 1 species
CAAGGUUCCCGUAGGGUGAACCUGCGGAAGGAUCAUUAUUGUAUAAUGGAGGCACUGAGGCUGUCGCUGACUUUUGAAAGGGUCGUGCACGCCUUUGGUGUUCUCGCACAUAAUCCAUCUCACCCCUUUGUGCAUCACCGCGUGGAGGUCCCCUUUUGGCUAGUUCUGAGGGGGGCUUUCAUGUUUUUACACACACACUUUUUUUAAUACAAUGUGUAUGAAUGCCUUACUUUUUGCGAUGAUACGCAAUCAAUAUAACUUUCAACAACGGAUCUCUUGGCUCUCGCAUCGAUGAAGAACGCAGCGAAAUGCGAUACGUAAUGUGAAUUGCAGAAUUCAGUGAAUCAUCGAAUCUUUGAACGCACCUUGCGCCCUUUGGUAUUCCGAGGGGCACACCCGUUUGAGUGUCGUGAUAUUCUCAAACCUUCUUGGUUUCUUGACCAGGAAGGCUUUGGACUUUGGAGGUUUUUGCUGUCCUUCUGUUGUUGAAGUCAGCUCCUCUGAAAUGAAUUAGUGGGGUCCACUUUGCUGAUCCUUGACGUGAUAAGAUAUUUCUACGUCUUGGGGUUUUGCACUGUUUACUCUGGAUCCUGCUUCUAACUGUCUUAUAGAAGACAAUAGSUUGAGUGAUUUGCCAACUUGAACA